CCGUGGGCGACUCUAAAGGGAACGUGCCGGUGUUAAACCGGGAGGAAGGUGGGGGAUGACGUCAAGUCCUCAUGGCCUUUAUGACCAGGGCUACACACGUACUACAAUGGCCGGAACAAAGGGAUGCGAAGCAGUGAUGUGGAGCGAAACCCAUAAAAACAGUCUCAGUUCGGAUUGAAGUCUGCAACUCGACUUCAUGAAGUCGGAAUCGCUAGUAAUCGCGGAUCAGAACGCCGCGGUGAAUACGUUCUCGGGGUUU
rnacentral:rRNA from 1 species